rnacentral:rRNA from 1 species
UACGUAGGGUGCGAGCGUUAAUCGGAAUUACUGGGCGUAAAGCGUGCGCAGGCGGUUUUGUAAGCCAGGUGUGAAAUCCCCGGGCUCAACCUGGGAAUGGCAUUUGGGACUGCAAGGCUGGAGUGCGGCAGAGGAGACUGGAAUUCCUGGUGUAGCAGUGAAAUGCGUAGAUAUCAGGAGGAACACCGAUGGCGAAGGCAGGUCUCUGGGCUGACACUGACGCUCAGGCACGAAAGCGUGGGGAGCAAAAGGG